rnacentral:tRNA from 1 species
GGGGCCGUAGUCUAGCAAGGUAAGACGGCAGGGCUGUUAACCCGUAGAUCGUGGGUUCAAGUCCCACCGGCCCCACCA